GGUAAGGGCUGCAGCUCAGGGGCAGAGUAUUUGCUUUCUAUGCAGAAGGUCCUAGCUUCAAUCCCUGGCAUCUCAUCA